rnacentral:rRNA from 1 species
GUCUAUGGCCAUGCUUCCCUGAACAAGCCUGAUCCUAUCUAAUCUCAGAAGCUAAGCAGGGUCGGGCCUGGUUAGUACUUGAAUGGGAGACCACCAAGGAAGACCAGGUACUGUAGGCG